CAGGGGGACAACCUGUAUACCCAUGGCUUCAACGUAAUAAUGGAAACUCCGGGCUAAAUUUAUUUGAUUCUGCAAAUAUUCGGGCAAAGAAAAAUUUGGGAAGGCGGGUGAGUACACACUGUAUAUAUUUACAGAAAAAUAUUUAUAAAAUCUAUAAAAGAA